CUACGUGCCAGCAGCCGCGGUAAUACGUAGGUGGCGAGCGUUGUCCGGAAUCAUUGGGCGUAAAGGGAGCGCAGGCGGGCCGGUAAGUCUUACUUAAAAGUGCGGGGCUCAACCCCGUGAUGGGAGAGAAACUAUCGGUCUUGAGUACAGGAGAGGAAAGCGGAAUUCCCAGUGUAGCGGUGAAAUGCGUAGAUAUUGGGAAGAACACCAGUGGCGAAGGCGGCUUUCUGGACUGCAACUGACGCUGAGGCUCGAAAGCCAGGGGAGCGAACGGGAUUAGAUACCCCGGUAGUCCUGGCCGUAAACGAUGGAUACUAGGUGUAGGAGGUAUCGACCCCUUCUGUGCCGGAGUUAACGCAAUAAGUWCCCCGCCUGGGGAGUACGACCGCAAGGUUGAAACUCAAAGGAAUUGACGGGGGCCCGCACAAGCGGUGGAGUAUGUGGUUUAAUUCGACGCAACGCGAAGAACCUUACCAGGUCUUGACAU
rnacentral:rRNA from 1 species